UAGGAGUCUCACAAAAACCCCA
rnacentral:piRNA from 1 species